GAUGAACGCUAGCUACAGGCUUAACACAUGCAAGUCGCGGGGCAGCAUGGGGGUUGCUUGCAAUCCCCGAUGGCGACCGGCGCACGGGUGAGUAACGCGUAUCCAACCUGCCCUUCACCACGGGAUAACCCGGCGAAAGUCGGACUAAUACCGUAUGUUGUCCAUUGACGGCAUCCGAUUUGGACGAAAGGUUUGGCGGGGAAGGAUGGGGAUGCGUCCGAUUAGCUGGACGGCGGGGUGACGGCCCACCGUGGCGACGAUCGGUAGGGGUUCUGAGAGGAAGGUCCCCCACACUGGAACUGAGACACGGUCCAGACUCCUACGGGAGGCAGCAGUGAGGAAUAUUGGUCAAUGGGCGUAAGCCUGAACCAGCCAAGUAGCGUGCAGGAUGACGGCCCUAUGGGUUGUAAACUGCUUUUAUGCGGGGAUAAAGUGGCCCACGUGUGGGUUUUUGCAGGUACCGCAUGAAUAAGGACCGGCUAAUUCCGU
rnacentral:rRNA from 1 species